AUUCUAGGAUGGGGACAUUGUCUCAAUAGAUCUUUAAACCUUUCCCAAGCAUCGAAUACAAAUUUAUCUCCCCUUUUCCUAAAAUAAGUGAUUUCAUUCCUCAUUUU